rnacentral:rRNA from 1 species
UACGUAGGGUGCGAGCGUUAAUCGGAAUUACUGGGCGUAAAGCGUGCGCAGGCGGUUUUGUAAGCCGGAUGUGAAAUCCCCGGGCUUAACCUGGGGAUGGCAUUCGGGACUGCAAGGCUGGAGUGCGGCAGAGGAGACUGGAAUUCCUGGUGUAGCAGUGAAAUGCGUAGAUAUCUGGAGGAACACCGGUGGCGAAGGCGGCAUCCUGGACCGACAUUGACGCUGAUGAGCGAAAGCUAGGGGAGCAAACGGG